rnacentral:rRNA from 1 species
GGAGAAAAGCAGGGGAAUCGCAAGACCUUGCACUUUUGGAGCGGCCGAUGUCUGAUUAGCUAGUUGGUGGGGUAAAGGCCUACCAAGGCUUCGAUCAGUAGCUGGUCUGAGAGGACGGCCAGCCACACUGGGGACUGAGACACGGCCCAGACUCCUACGGGAGGCAGCAGUGGGGAAUUUUGGACAAUGGGCGCAAGCCUGAUCCAGCCAUGCCGCGUGAGUGAAGAAGGCCUUCGGGUUGUAAGGCUCUUUCAGCCGGGAAGAAAAGACUGCGACUAAUAAUCGCAGAUCAUGACGGUACCGGAAGAAGAAGCACCGGCUAACUACGUGCCAGCAGCCGCGGUAAUACGUAGGGUGCGAGCGUUAAUCGGAAUUACUGGGCGUAAAGGGUGCGCAGGCGGUUUUGUAAGUCAGAUGUGGAAAUCCCCGGGCUUAACCUGGGAACUGCGUUUGAAACUACAAGGCUAGA